rnacentral:sRNA from 2 species
UACCAGCUUCUCUCAGUUGAAGACUUCUCUCUAUACUUGAUUUCCUCUCAUUCAUGAGUUGAUGAUGUUGUUGAUAUAUACCACUUCUUAUCUAUUACUCUCAUUCUUCAAACAAUUGAUGAUUAUUUCUCUUCAGAGUAAAGUAUAAUCUUUCUCUCAAUAAAGUCAUUCUGUUUGAGAAUGUCAUUUACAUAUAUCUGAAGAAUGAGAAUGUGUAUUUAUAUAAUAUAUCAAGGC